GCGACCCGGCCGCACCGGACCCCCCGACAGACGGCCGCUGCCCCCGAGGUCCACAUCACGACCUCUCUCUGCACCUCGCGGCCCAGGAGGCCAUGACACCUCCG
rnacentral:miRNA from 10 species